CGCGCGCUGGGCGCUGCUGGGCUGCGGCGGCGGCGGCGGCGGUUACUAUGGCGGAGUCGGCCGGAGCCUCCUCAUUCUUCCCCCUCGUCGUCCUCCUGCUCGCCGGCAGCAGCGGGUCCGGGCCCCGGGGAAUCCAGGCUCUGCUGUGUACGUGCACCAGCUGCCUACAGGCCAACUACACGUGUGAAACAGAUGGGGCCUGCAUGGUUUCCAUUUUCAACCUGGAUGGGGUGGAGCACCAUGUGCGUACCUGCAUCCCCAAAGUGGAGCUGGUCCCUGCUGGGAAGCCCUUCUAUUGCCUGAGCUCCGAGGACCUGCGUAACACCCACUGCUGCUAUACUGACUUCUGCAACAAGAUCGACCUGAGGGUGCCCAGUGGUCACCUUAAGGAGCCUGAGCACCCUUCCAUGUGGGGCCCUGUGGAGCUGGUCGGCAUCAUUGCCGGCCCAGUGUUCCUCCUGUUUCUCAUCAUCAUCAUUGUUUUCCUUGUCAUUAACUAUCACCAGCGUGUCUAUCACAACCGCCAGAGGCUGGACAUGGAAGAUCCCUCAUGUGAGAUGUGCCUCUCCAAAGACAAGACGCUCCAAGAUCUUGUCUACGAUCUCUCCACAUCAGGGUCUGGCUCAGGGUUACCACUGUUUGUCCAGCGCACAGUGGCCCGAACCAUCGUUUUACAGGAGAUUAUUGGCAAGGGCCGGUUUGGAGAAGUGUGGCGCGGCCGCUGGAGGGGUGGAGAUGUGGCUGUGAAAAUUUUCUCUUCUCGUGAAGAACGGUCUUGGUUCCGGGAAGCAGAGAUAUACCAGACAGUCAUGCUGCGCCACGAAAACAUCCUCGGAUUUAUUGCUGCUGACAAUAAAGAUAAUGGCACCUGGACACAGCUGUGGCUCGUCUCAGACUACCAUGAGCAUGGCUCCCUGUUCGAUUAUCUUAACCGGUACACAGUGACGAUCGAGGGGAUGAUCAAGCUGGCCUUGUCUGCUGCCAGUGGGCUGGCACACCUGCACAUGGAGAUCGUGGGCACCCAAGGGAAGCCUGGAAUUGCUCAUCGAGACUUAAAGUCGAAGAACAUCCUAGUGAAGAAAAACGGCAUGUGCGCCAUAGCAGACCUGGGCCUGGCCGUCCGUCAUGAUGCAGUCACAGACACCAUUGACAUUGCCCCAAAUCAGAGGGUGGGAACCAAACGAUACAUGGCCCCUGAAGUGCUUGAUGAAACCAUUAACAUGAAGCACUUUGACUCCUUUAAAUGUGCUGAUAUCUAUGCCCUCGGGCUUGUAUAUUGGGAGAUUGCUCGAAGAUGCAAUUCUGGAGGAGUCCAUGAAGAAUAUCAGCUGCCAUAUUAUGACUUAGUGCCCUCUGACCCUUCCAUUGAGGAAAUGCGCAAGGUCGUAUGUGACCAGAAGCUGCGUCCCAACAUCCCCAACUGGUGGCAGAGUUAUGAGGCGUUACGCGUGAUGGGGAAGAUGAUGCGAGAGUGCUGGUACGCCAACGGCGCAGCCCGCCUGACUGCUCUGCGCAUUAAGAAGACCCUCUCCCAGCUCAGCGUGCAGGAAGAUGUGAAGAUCUAACCCUGCUUCCCUCCCCUACAUGCAGCCUGGGCAGCGAGGACUACACAGAGCUGCCAUGUCGAGCGUACGAUGGAGGCCUACCUCUCGUUUCUGCCCAGCCCUCUGUGGCCAGAAGCCCUGGUCCGAAAGAGGGACAGAGCCCGGGAGACCCGCUCACUCCCAUGUUGGGUUUGAGACACAGACACCUUUUAUACUUACCUCCUAGUGGCAUGGAGACUCUGAGCGAACGGUGUGAGAACUCGGUGCCACAACUCCUAACUGGUUGUAGUGGGAAGUCCCGCCCAACCCGGUGCGCCUGGGUACAUCCAGGAGUGGUGACGGCGGCCUGGAGGGCCCAGGUGAAGCCGAGUGCUGAGCAGCACUGAGAUUUUCCUCCAGGAACCAGCCCCGGCACCGAGGUGGCCCAGAGGAACCCGAAGCGCAGCCCCUCUGGCAGGCAGUUCUGGGCCCCGUGCUCCACCCUCGCCCAGACAUCGGCAGGGGCUGCCAGCGGAGACGGAAUCCGCCCCUGCCUGUCCAGCCAGGUGUGCAUGUGCCGAGAAACCCUUACAAAAACAACCACAAAAAAAAAAAAAAAAAAAGCUUCAAUCAAGCGCACAUAGCUCAAUCACACUGGAAACGUCGUCCUUGUCCUGAGCCUGUCCCCACUCCGCAGGAGAGGCCCGUCCUGCCCUGGGGGUUCGUCUCUCUCGCUUCUGCCCACCCACCCCCAGUUCCAGGAGUGGCUUGGGGCCAGGGCCCUGGCCUGUUGUGCACUGUCCAGCUGGUUGCUCCUUCUCCAGGCGUUUCCUCAGCUAAUGUUGAGUGCCUGUUGGGUGCCAGGCACUGUGCUAGGUGCUGGGAUACGGCUGUGAACAAGACAGGCUUGGGUCCUACCCUUGGAGCACUGAGGAAGGACCCGAUCCAAGUUGGUGGGUGCCUGUUUUGAGACCAGAAGUUUCAUACAGUCGUUGGUUCUGAGAGCCUUUGAGCCCGGAACGAUUGCUCUCAUAGAAGACCACCGAGGAGCAAGGAUGCCUCCCACGCCAAAGAGACCGGUGGUGGGCACGGGCGCCCAGUCACUGCGUUCCUUCUGCGCCUCCUCCCUGCCCGGGGAGCGUGGUGUGGAUGCAGCUGCACAGCACCCCUGCCUCCAGCCAGCGACUCGCUGCCAAAGCUUGUGGAGGAGGGAGCCCUCUCCCUGCUUCUGUCUCCCCGAUGCCCCUGGCCUUUCUAUUUAUUUUCCUGAUGUGUUGCCUCUUUCCUUGCAUUAAAGGAGAUUCUCCCCUAACUGUUUGGGCCAAUUUACUGGCUAUUGACUAAUUUCCCUUGAAUACCAAUUGUGUCAUCAGGGGACUUCCUUUCCUCACCUCUGCCCUGCAGAACCUGGCGGGUUCUAAGUGGUUAUGGGAUUAGACUCCCCGUGCCCAUCACCACCAGCCUCUGGGAUCUGCCAACACUCCUCGACCCAGGGACUCCCAAGCCACUCGCCUGCUCCCUAGGUGGCCCUUCUGUCCUCACCACACGUACAUCCAGCUCCUCCCGCCUGGGGAGGACUGAGCAGUUUUUUGGGAAGCUCCCAUCCUCACCCUCGCCACUCUUAACCAUAAGCGUUAGGAGUUUAGAGAGCUGGGGAGAAACUACAGCCUGAAGCCGUGGUGUUUGGCCCCCUGAGGCUAACCCUGACCCUUAGGGCGACCUGCACCUCUGGAUUCUGGGUUCACAGACCAAGGCCAAGCCCGUUCUUUUGUUGCCAUCAAGGCCCCCGAACGGCAUUCUCGGUACUUCUGUUUGUUUUUGUACAUUUUACUAGAAAGGAUUGUAAAAUAGCCACUUAGACACUUUACCUCUUCAGUAUGCAAAUGUAAAUAAGUUGUAAUAUAGGAAAUCUUUUGUUUUAAUAUAAGAAUGAGCCUGUCCAAUUUCUGCUGUACAUUAUUAAAGUUUUAUUCACAGAGCUGA